GCUUGUCUCAAAGAUUAAGCCAUGCAUGUCUAAGUAUAAACACCUUUAUACUGUGAAACUGCGUACAGCUCAUUAAAUCAGUAAUAAUUUAUUUGAUGGUGACUUACUACAUGGAUAACCGUAGUAACCUAGAGCUAAUACAUGCACAAAAUCCCGACUUCACGGAAGGGAUGUAUUUAUUAGAUAAAAAACCAAUCCGGCAACGGUGCUUGGUGAUUCAUAAUAACUUUUGCGGAUCGCAUGGCCUUGAGCCGGCGACGAAUCAUUCAAAUUUCUGCCCUAUCAACUUUCGAUGGUACGGUAUUGGCCUACCAUGGUUACCACGGGUAACGGGGAAUUAGGGUUCGGUUCCGGAGAGGGGGCCUGAGAAAUGGCCACCACAUCCAAGGAAGGCAGCAGG
rnacentral:rRNA from 1 species